AAUGAACGUUGGCGGCGUGGAUUAGGCAUGCAAGUCGAGCGAGAAUCGUAGCAAUACGAGGACAGCGGCGAAAGGGAGAGGAACACGUGGAUACGUACCCUCGGGUUCAGGAUAGCCAUGGGAAACUAUGGGUAAUACUGAAUAACAUCUCCGGAUCAAAGGUGUGAUUCCGCCCGGGGAGCGGUCCGCGUCCUAUUAGCUUGUUGGUGAGGUAACGGCUCACCAAGGCAAAGAUGGGUAUGGGGUGUGAGAGCAUGCCCCCACUCACUGGGACUGAUACACUGCCCAGACACCUACGGGUGGCUGCAGCCGAGAGUCUUCGUCAAUGGGGGAAACCCUGACCGAGCGACGCCGCGUGCGGGAUGAAGGCCUUCGGGUUGUAAACCGCUGUCAGAGGGGAGGAAAUGCCGGUGGAUUCUCCCAUCGGUUUGACCUAGCCUCAGAGGAAGGACGGGCUAAGUUCGUGCCAGCCGCCGCCGUAA
rnacentral:rRNA from 1 species